rnacentral:rRNA from 1 species
AAAUUGAAGAGUUUGAUCAUGGCUCAGAUUGAACGCUGGCGGCAGGCCUAACACAUGCAAGUCGAGCGGAAACGAGUUAUCUGAACCUUCGGGGAACGAUAACGGCGUCGAGCGGCGGACGGGUGAGUAAUGCCUAGGAAAUUGCCCUGAUGUGGGGGAUAACCAUUGGAAACGAUGGCUAAUACCGCAUAAUAGCUUCGGCUCAAAGAGGGGGACCUUCGGGCCUCUCGCGUCAGGAUAUGCCCAGGUGGGAUUAGCUAGUUGGUGAGGUAAUGGCUCACCAAGGCAACGAUCCCUAGCUGGUCUGAGAGGAUGAUCAGCCACACUGGAACUGAGACACGGUCCAGACUCCUACGGGAGGCAGCAGUGGGGAAUAUUGCACAAUGGGCGCAAGCCUGAUGCAGCCAUGCCGCGU